UCCCGCGCCUCCGGCUGACGGUGUCGACAGGCCGCCGUUGGCGGGGACCGUGGGAAGCCCCGGUGCUCUCCCGGGCACCCUCUCAGCCACUCUGAACUCGGCAUCCGGGGCGCCAGCUCUGAAACCAGCAUCUCUUCUUCCUCACUGCCUCCCGCUCCGAGUGGGCUGUUUCGUGCACCUUUUACACGCGGGUCGUAACAUAUGGUGCUGGGAAGGGUGGUCAACUGCUUUAGGACUCUACCUUGGAGCGGUCCAGGAUGAAGAGUACAUUAAAUUUAAAAAUUGAGGCACACUGCUGAGAUAAUUAUUUCUGCCUCAAUCCUUGCUUCUCUGCACUGGAAGACCCUGCUUCAAUUCUUUGGAACUGUUGUUAAAUCUCCUCUGAAGGUUUGAACUAGUCCAAGAAUGGCGUGACUGAUCAGUAUGAUUGCUCUGUCCUAGCUAGUUACUUGAUUACUUUCCUGAGUAAACACCGUAAGGUGGGAACCCCUUUAAAAGCAAAGGCUGCAUGGGGGCUACUAGCCGCAUUCCCUUUGACUAUGUUGAAUCUUCCUUGGGUCAGAGGAAUGGGUCAGAAAGAGGAGGAAAGCAGCAGGAUGAAUCAGAUUUGGCCUGGACCCCUUACUAAGCCAAAGCUGGCCUGAUGGCAGAGCAUUCCUAAAGCACUAAUAUUCAUGUAGUGAAGCCUGUGCAAAUUGUGUUUGCUCUCUGCCUUUCAUGACAGGCCAUGUGGAUACUCAAAACACAGUGAAAAAGGCAUCUACCUGGUGCAAAUAACACAGUGCCCUUGGACACGUUUGGACACCUAGGUCAGUGGAUUGCAAGCAUUAACCUGACCUCGGGCAUGAAAAGAGGUCCACGAUUGUGGUUGUGGGCCUAAUGACUGCCUUUCCUUUUUAAUGGUGCAUUUCUAAUGUGUGGUCUCCUAAUUAUUUUUAUUUUCUAAGCAUACAUUUUGUGCUGAGUCUAGUGCCUGGAGUUGUUCCACAUGUCCGGGCCGUGAUUAACUCCCCAACAUCUUCAUGUGGUGAUAAAUUACCGCUGUGGAGGCUGGUCGCCACUAAGAGAUCGCUUCAGACUGCCUCCUUCUCUGACAGUUACACUCCUCAAAGUGAUGGCUUUCUACCCCUUUACUUUUCGCUUAUUUUUUCCUCCAAAUAAAUGUUUCCACUUCAUUUCCAUUGUGGAUCAGCCAAUGGGCAAAGACAGGGGGUUAUUUACUUAUUGUUGCCCGUGUUUGAAGAUACAGGUGGAGAGAGAAAGCCUUACUAGUUCAGGCAGGCUGAACUACAGGAAGAUGGACAUUCUGAUUAUAUUUAAGUUUAUUCUCAAACCUCCCUAACUGCUGUAUAU